CCUACGGGAGGCGGCAGUGGGGAAUUUUCCGCAAUGGGCGCAAGCCUGACGGAGCAACGCCGCGUGAGGGAUGAAGGCCUCUGGGCUGUAAGCCUCUUUUCUCAAGGAAGAAGACCUGACGGUACUUGAGGAAUAAGCCACGGCUAAUUCCGUGCCAGCAGCCGCGGUAAUACGGGAGUGGCAAGCGUUAUCCGGAAUUAUUGGGCGUAAAGCGUCCGCAGGCGGCCUAUUAAGUCUGUCGUUAAAGCGUGGAGCUCAACUCCAUUUAAGCGAUGGAAACUGGAAGGCUAGAGUGUGGUAGGGGCAGAGGGAAUUCCCGGUGUAGCGGUGAAAUGCGUAGAUAUCGGGAAGAACACCAGUGGCGAAGGCGCUCUGCUGGGCCAUAACUGACGCUCAUGGACGAAAGCCAGGGGAGCGAAAGGGAUUAGAUACCCCUGUAGUCCUGGCCGUAAACGAUGAACACUAGGUGUCGGGGGUAAUCGACCCCCUCGGUGUCGUAGCUAACGCGUUAAGUGUUCCGCCUGGGGAGUACGCACGCAAGUGUGAAACUCAAAGGAAUUGACGG
rnacentral:rRNA from 1 species